GAUGAACGCUGGCGGCGUGCCUAAUACAUGCAAGUCGAGCGAACAGACGAGGAGCUUGCUCCUUUGACGUUAGCGGCGGACGGGUGAGUAACACGUAGGUAACCUACCUAUAAGACUGGGAUAACUUCGGGAAACCGGAGCUAAUACCGGAUAAUAUAUUGAACCGCAUGGUUCGAUAGUGAAAGAUGGCUUUGCUGUCACUUAUAGAUGGAUCUGCGCCGCAUUAGCUAGUUGGUAAGGUAACGGCUUACCAAGGCAACGAUACGUAGCCGACCUGAGAGGGUGAUCGGCCACACUGGAACUGAGACACGGUCCAGACUCCUACGGGAGGCAGCAGUAGGGAAUCUUCCGCAAUGGGCGAAAGCCUGACGGAGCAACGCCGCGUGAGUGAUGAAGGUCUUCGGAUCGUAAAACUCUGUUAUUAGGGAAGAACAAACGUGUAAGUAACUAUGCACGUCUUGACGGUACCUAAUCAGAAAGCCACGGCUAACUACGUG
rnacentral:rRNA from 1 species